UUUUAAGCAAGUUUUGAGAUCAAAGCAAUCAAUCCCCAAGGUCUCAUUGUGAUUUUUGAAAGAAUAAGAUGGAUGCCAAAUGUCUUAGAGAAGGAGCAGUGGGGACAGUAGAUGCCAUGAAUACCGCAGUUCUUCUUUCAGAAUAGGCCGCUUUUGACUCAGCUGUGAAGGAAUGGUCUGCUGUUGUGAUAAAAAGGCUUCAGAAUAGACAAUGGUAAAUAUCACAUGACCUUGCGAAUGGCGGUUUAGUUAGCGAAGAGCUAAAUGGAUCAGACGGUUAAUUACAUGUAUUAAUUAUUAAUACAUGUAAUUUCUUUGAAAAGUGGAUUAGCUGUAAAUACUGCAAAGAGCUAAAGACCAACAUUUUAAUUCAGCAACAUGUUCAUUGGCUAGUGAACCAGCCGCUCCACAGGCCAAUCCAUAUUCCCACCCAAGAAUCUAGGCAAUCCAUAUUUAUAAGAAGGAAUUGGGUGGCUUCUGACUAGUAUCUUGAUAACGUAUUUCUUUAAGCAUUUUGCUACAUAAAGACUUUUCAUGAUGGCUGACAGAUUUACACUGGAAGAUGCAUGGGUGUCUUGUAUCUCUACGAAUCUUUGUUAUGUGCAUAUAAAUUGAGUUGUGGGUUUGAA